rnacentral:rRNA from 1 species
CGUCAAAUCAUCAUGCCCCUUACGUUCUGGGCUACACACGUACUACAAUGGCCGAAACAACGGGAAGCGAAGCCGCGAGGCCGAGCCAAUCCCUAAAAAGCGGCCCCAGUUCAGAUUGCAGGCUGAAACCCGCCUGUAUGAAGUCGGAAUUGCUAGUAAUCGCGAAUCAGCAUGUCGCGGUGAAUACGUUCCCGGGUCUU